rnacentral:lncRNA from 1 species
AAGUAACUGGAAUAGGCAAGAUGGUUUGCUUGAGUUCCCACCAACGGUCUGCUUCUCCCACUAGCAUGUAGGUAGCAAGGGCGACCCUCUGUUCGGGAGUCACCCCUAGGGUCUUGAAGGCCUUCUCCGUCUCCGCCAACCAGUACUGGGCAUCUUCAAAAAAGGAUUCCUCUAUAAAAGUAGAUGGGUUCAGUCUCCUGUACCUCUCUAUGUAGGCUGGGUCAAUCGUGGGAGGAACUGGAUCCCGUGGAAGAGGGACUAGGCCAGGCUUAGGAUAGAUUGGGGGCCCCUGUGGUGGUACUUGCUGAUACAGUGGGGGCACUAGAUUAUACUGUGGUGGUGCCAGGUGGUACUGUGGAGGAGCAGGGUCGUACCGGGGUGGCUCAGGAUCCUCUCGAUGUAGUGGUGGCUAAACCUGUGGCAGCGAGGGAGGGUCAAGUAGCUCCCUCCUCUCCUCUCGACCCUGCUGGGCAGCAAUGAGUCUCUCC